rnacentral:rRNA from 1 species
AUUGAACGCUGGCGGCAUGCCUUACACAUGCAAGUCGAACGGCAGCACGGGGGCAACCCUGGUGGCGAGUGGCGAACGGGUGAGUAAUGCAUCGGAACGUGCCCAGUAGUGGGGGAUAACUAUCCGAAAGGAUGGCUAAUACCGCAUACGCACUGAGGUGGAAAGCGGGGGAUCGCAAGACCUCGCGCUAUUGGAGCGGCCGAUGUCGGAUUAGCUAGUUGGUGGGGUAAAGGCCUACCAAGGCGACGAUCCGUAGCUGGUCUGAGAGGACGACCAGCCACACUGGGACUGAGACACGGCCCAGACUCCUACGGGAGGCAGCAGUGGGGAAUUUUGGACAAUGGGGGAAACCCUGAUCCAGCCAUGCCGCGUGUGUGAAGAAGGCCCUCGGGUUGUAAAGCACUUUUGGCGAGAACGAAACGGCGCUGGUUAAUACCUGGCGCUAAUGACGGUACUCGCAGAAUAAGCACCGGCUAACUACGUGCCAGCAGCCGCCGCUGUAA